AGAGUUUGAUCCUGGCUCAGGACGAACGCUGGCGGCACGCUUAACACAUGCAAGUCGAACGGAGAAUAUCGAAGCUUGCUUUGAUAUUCUUAGUGGCGGACGGGUGAGUAACACGUGAGUAACCUGCCUCUGAGAGUGGGAUAGCUUCUGGAAACGGAUGGUAAUACCGCAUGAAAUCAUAGUAUCGCAUGGUACAAUGAUCAAAGAUUUAUCGCUCAGAGAUGGACUCGCGUCUGAUUAGCUAGUUGGUAAGGUAACGGCUUACCAAGGCGACGAUCAGUAGCCGGCUUGAGAGAGUGAACGGCCACAUUGGGACUGAGACACGGCCCAGACUCCUACGGGAGGCAGCAGUGGGGAAUAUUGCACAAUGGAGGAAACUCUGAUGCAGCGAUGCCGCGUGAGGGAAGAAGGUUUUAGGAUUGUAAACCUCUGUCUUCAGGGACGAAAAAAGACGGUACCUGAGGAGGAAGCUCCGGCUAACUACGUGCCAGCAGCCGCGGUAAUACGUAGGGAGCGAGCGUUGUCCGGAAUUACUGGGUGUAAAGGGAGCGUAGGCGGGACGGCAAGUCAGAUGUGAAAACUAUGGGCUCAACCCAUAGACUGCAUUUGAAACUGUUGUUCUUGAGUGAGGUAGAGGUAAGCGGAAUUCCUGGUGUAGCGGUGAAAUGCGUAGAGAUCAGGAGGAACAUCGGUGGCGAAGGCGGCUUACUGGGCCUUUACUGACGCUGAGGCUCGAAAGCGUGGGGAGCAAACAGGAUUAGAUACCCUGGUAGUCCACGCCGUAAACG
rnacentral:rRNA from 1 species